rnacentral:rRNA from 1 species
CCCUUAGAUGUUCUGGGCCGCACGCGCGCUACACUGAUGAAUGCAACGAGCUCUACCCUUGACCGAAAGGCCCGGGUAAACUUGUGAAACUUCAUCGUGAUGGGGAUAGAUUAUUGCAAUUAUUAAUCUUCAACGAGGAAUUCCUAGUAAGCGCGAGUCAUCAGCUUGCAUUGAUUACGUCCCUGCCCUUUGUACACACCGCCCGUCGCUCCUACCGAUUGAAUGAUCCGAUGAAUAUCAUGGAUUGAGGAUGCAAGUAGGUUCGCCUAUCUUCAUCUUCGAGAAGUGAAGUAAAUCUUAUCAUUUAGAGGAAGGAGAAGUCGUAACA